CAGCGCCACGAGUAGGGACCAGUAUUAUUGGGCCUAAAGCGUCCGUAGCCGGAUUAGUAAAUUCCUUGUGAAAUUGUUGGGCUUAACCUAACAGCGUGCAGAGAACACUGCUAAUCUUGAGACCGGGAGGCGUUAGAGGUAUGCAUGGGGUAGUGGUAAAAUGCAGUAAUCCCAUGUGGACCACCUGUGGCGAAGGCGUCUAACGAGAACGGGUCUGACGGUGAGGGACGAAAGCUAGGGGAGCGAACCGGAUUAGAGACCCGAGUAGUCC
rnacentral:rRNA from 1 species